rnacentral:rRNA from 1 species
CGGUGAUCUAGCCAUGGGCAGGUUGAAGGUUGGGUAACACUAACUGGAGGACCGAACCGACUAAUGUUGAAAAAUUAGCGGAUGACUUGUGGCUGGGGGUGAAAGGCCAAUCAAACCGGGAGAUAGCUGGUUCUCCCCGAAAGCUAUUUAGGUAGCGCCUCGUGAAUUCAUCUCCGGGGGUAGAGCACUGUUUCGGCAAGGGGGUCAUCCCGACUUACCAACCCGAUGCAAACUGCGAAUACCGGAGAAUGUUAUCACGGGAGACACACGGCGGGUGCUAACGUCCGUCGUGAAGAGGGAAACAACCCAGACCGCCAGCUAAGGUCCCAAAGUCAUGGUUAAGUGGGAAACGAUGUGGGAAGGCCCAGACAGCCAGGAUGUUGGCUUAGAAGCAGCCAUCAUUUAAAGAAAGCGUAAUAGCUCACUGGUCGAGUCGGCCUGCGCGGAAGAUGUAACGGGGCUAAACCAUGCACCGAAGCUGCGGCAGCGACACUGUGUGUUGUUGGGUAGGGGAGCGUUCUGUAAGCCUGUGAAGGUGUGCUGUGAGGCAUGCUGGAGGUAUCAGAAGUGCGAAUGCUGACAUAAGUAACGAUAAAGCGGGUGAAAAGCCCGCUCGCCGGAAGACCAAGGGUUCCUGUCCAACGUUAAUCGGGGCAGGGUGAGUCGACCCCUAAGGCGAGGCCGAAAGGCGUAGUCGAUGGGAAACAGGUUAAUAUUCCUGUACUUGGUGUUACUGCGAAGGGGGGACGGAGAAGGCUAUGUUGGCCGGGCGACGGUUGUCCCGGUUUAAGCGUGUAGGCUGGUUUUCCAGGCAAAUCCGGAAAAUCAAGGCUGAGGCGUGAUGACGAGGCACUACGGUGCUGAAGCAACAAAUGCCCUGCUUCCAGGAAAAGCCUCUAAGCAUCAGGUAACAUCAAAUCGUACCCCAAACCGACACAGGUGGUCAGGUAGAGAAUACCAAGGCGCUUGAGAGAACUCGGGUGAAGGAACUAGGCAAAAUGGUGCCGUAACUUCGGGAGAAGGCACGCUGAUAUGUAGGUGAAGUCCCUCGCGGAUGGAGCUGAAAUCAGUCGAAGAUACCAGCUGGCUGCAACUGUUUAUUAAAAACACAGCACUGUGCAAACACGAAAGUGGACGUAUACGGUGUGACGCCUGCCCGGUGCCGGAAGGUUAAUUGAUGGGGUCAGCGCAAGCGAAGCUCUUGAUCGAAGCCCCGGUAAACGGCGGCCGUAACUAUAACGGUCCUAAGGUAGCGAAAUUCCUUGUCGGGUAAGUUCCGACCUGCACGAAUGGCGUAAUGAUGGCCAGGCUGUCUCCACCCGAGACUCAGUGAAAUUGAACUCGCUGUGAAGAUGCAGUGUACCCGCGGCAAGACGGAAAGACCCCGUGAACCUUUACUAUAGCUUGACACUGAACAUUGAGCCUUGAUGUGUAGGAUAGGUGGGAGGCUUUGAAGUGUGGACGCCAGUCUGCAUGGAGCCGACCUUGAAAUACCACCCUUUAAUGUUUGAUGUUCUAACGUGGACCCGUGAUCCGGGUUGCGGACAGUGUCUGGUGGGUAGUUUGACUGGGGCGGUCUCCUCCUAAAGAGUAACGGAGGAGCACGAAGGUUGGCUAAUCCUGGUCGGACAUCAGGAGGUUAGUGCAAUGGCAUAAGCCAGCUUGACUGCGAGCGUGACGGCGCGAGCAGGUGCGAAAGCAGGUCAUAGUGAUCCGGUGGUUCUGAAUGGAAGGGCCAUCGCUCAACGGAUAAAAGGUACUCCGGGGAUAACAGGCUGAUACCGCCCAAGAGUUCAUAUCGACGGCGGUGUUUGGCACCUCGAUGUCGGCUCAUCACAUCCUGGGGCUGAAGUAGGUCCCAAGGGUAUGGCUGUUCGCCAUUUAAAGUGGUACGCGAGCUGGGUUUAGAACGUCGUGAGACAGUUCGGUCCCUAUCUGCCGUGGGCGCUGGAGAACUGAGGGGGGCUGCUCCUAGUACGAGAGGACCGGAGUGGACGCAUCACUGGUGUUCGGGUUGUCAUGCCAAUGGCACUGCCCGGUAGCUAAAUGCGGAAGAGAUAAGUGCUGAAAGCAUCUAAGCACGAAACUUGCCCCGAGAUGAGUUCUCCCUGACCCUUUAAGGGUCCUGAAGGAACGUUGAAGACGACGACGUUGAUAGGCCGGGUGUGUAAGCGCAGCGAUGCGUUGAGCUAACCGGUACUAAUGAACCGUGAGGCUUAACCUU